rnacentral:tRNA from 1 species
GCCGACGUAGCUCAACAGGUAGAGCAGCCGCCUUGUAAGCGGCGGGUUACGGGUUCAAAUCCCGUCGUCGGCU